rnacentral:misc_RNA from 1 species
AAAGUCGUAACAAGGUUUCCGUAGGUGAACCUGCGGAAGGAUCAUUAAAGAGUACCGGAGCUCUCGGGUUCCUACUCCCACCCUAUGUUGACUUUAAAUGUUGCUUUGGCGGACCGGCAACUCUGCCGCCGGCCUAGGCUGGAUAGCGUCCGCCAGAGGAUUUUUAAAUUCCUUUGAAUGUGAAUUCUGAGUCUUUGAAAAUUGAAUCAAAACUUUCAACAACGGAUCUCUUGGUUCUG